rnacentral:lncRNA from 1 species
AGCCACCUUCACUUCUGUGUGAGAGGGAGAGUGCCUGUAGGCCUGGAAAAUUGAAGGUUUGAAAACUAAUUUUGUUUGACUCUUUAAUCCAUUUCAAACAUAGGCUCCAAAAUGGAAGAUUAAAGGAUUUCACUUUUGCUGCUGAGGACAUUCAGCUUAGAAAGGUGAAAGAUAACAGAAGUAGGAUGACUUCGGGAUAGAACAAUAGGAGGUUGAGCAGGAGGAACUUGCCUUUACCAGACCCAAGGAACUACAGAAGUGACUUGCUGUCCAUAGAAGUUUGUAAGUGAGUAAGGAGCUGCUAUGGAGAUGAUUCUAGAAAGCCCCUACCUUCCACAAGAACAUAUCAGGUUAAGAAAGAUCCACACUACAGCAUCCAAAGAUACGACUUACUUGAGAUGAUGAUCUUUGAGCAGAGACCAUCCUAUGCCAAGUCCUUCCCGUGCAGGUCACUGUCCCCAACUACACCUAUGCAGGUACGUCUCCUAUUCAGACAUUAGUGGAAACUCUUGAAUCAAUGGAUACAUGUCAGAUAAAUGGAUAAAUAAAU